rnacentral:lncRNA from 1 species
CAAGCCAGUGUUUUGGAGCAGUUGUUUCCACAGUUGGGACUUGUUUGGCUUGCCCAGGAGGAUGGGAAUAGUAAAAUCAGCUUAGGGACUUGAUGCGGGGAAACACUUAUGCAGCUUGGAGGAUGGCAGAGAGGAAUUGAGGUGGCCUAGGAGAGAACUUCCCGAAGAGCUAAGGGGAUCCUGUCCACAUCUGGAGCGAAGGUACACUGUGAGUUGGAGCUGUGGUGAGAAGAGAGGAUCCUACCAAUAGGUUACAGUAAAGCAAAGAGUUAUCUGGAGAGACAGGCAUGUUGGCGCUGGCUCAUCCCUGAGUCUGAAGCAAGAGUGGGAGGAGUCUCCAGUGAAUGAAGUGAAUGAAGUUAAAGUGGGAAGAGGGUCAUUCAUAAGCAACCUGUCCCUAGGCUGAGGGUGAGAAUGAAGAGCUUGUUCUGGUGGACAGGAAGGAGUGUGUGAGUCUCCUACUUGAGUCACUGCCAGAUGCCAGGUUCCCAGGUAGAAAGUGUCUCCAGGUCCUGGGGGCUGACAUGAAGGACUGGGGAUGGGUGAGGGGAUGCUGAGGGAUGCUGAGAAGCUUCACUGGAAGGAGAAAAGCGGGUUCUACUCCAAGGUUUGGCAGAAUCCUCUGUGAGUGGAGGUAGGAUGGGAAGACUGGCCCCUGCAAAAGGAUGCUGCAGGGCUGGAGAUGAGACUAAAGUGGUUGUAAUGGGGACAAGAAUGAGAGAAUCAUCUUAGUCCCAGCUCAGUGUGGCCACUAGGGGUCCAAAGUAGUGUUUCUAGGUAUAGGCAGCCACUCCAGCUAGUACACACAACCUAUACACACACAUGUACACAUACACACACACAUACAUACACACACAUACAUACACAUAUACACAUACACUCAUAACACACACUCACACACACACACUCUCAUACAUACACACACAUGUAUGUACACAUACACACACAUACACACACACAUACAUACACACACAUACAUACACAUAUACACUCAUACACACACACACAUACAGAAAAACAUAUAUACACAUAUACACACACAUACACAUACAGACACAGACACAGACACAGUCACACACACUAUAUUAUGGGCCAGUCAACUGGCUCAGUGUGUAAAGGCCACUACACCUCAUAUUCUGAGUUUGUUUGAUGUCGUGCACACAUCAGGUGGA